rnacentral:rRNA from 1 species
CCCCGUGACUAUAUCGAGAGGGCCACACCUGUUCCCAUACCGAACACAGAAGUUAAGCCUCUCAGAGCCGAUGGUACUGAUCUGGAGACGGAUCGGGAGAGUAGGGAGUUGCGGGGU